ensembl:lncRNA
GUUGUUUUGUAUCUUUGUGGUUGUUUUGUGUCUUUUUGUGGUUGUUUUGUGUCUCUUUGUGGUUGUUUUGUGUCUGUUCGUGGUUUUUUAUCUCUUUGUGGUUGUUUUAUGUCUCUGUGGUUGUUUUGUGUCUCUUCGUAGUUGUUUUGUGUGUCUUUGUGGUUGUUUUGUGUCUCUUUGUAGUUUCUCUGAGGACCCACAGUUCUGAAAUGUUUUUCUGUGGAUGUGUCGAGGCCUGAAGUUGUGGUUUUGCCGACAUUCGUCUCUCCUGCUUUAACAGAAACAGGAUGAAUUAGUAAAUGAGCUGAGUGUUGACAUUGGCGUUCAGUCUGAACUUCAGGACUCUGAGGCCUGUCGGGACUCGAACACAGUUACACAACUCCCCACCGUUCACUGCACAUCCCACACGUUAACACAUAUUUAACCGUUAUCACAUGACAGGAAAUGAAACAGCUUGGGUUCAUUUAAUCCCUCAUUUUGUCCAAACGGUUCAUCUGGAAAAUUCCUGGUGCUCACGUACAAAUCUAUUCAUCACAUGGUGCCUUUAAUAUCCAGUAAAUGGAACAACAGGAGAUCUGUCCUGAUCAUGACCUUUACCAGGAUCAUCUCUGACGUUCUAUGAGGUUCUCUCGUUCCAUCGUCCUGCCUGGACAUGUGGAACCCGUCAGCACUCUGCUCUGCAGAAAAUGAAAGCAGACGUCCGUCCAGCUUCCUGUUUCUGGGGAAUUCUGCCUCUCAGUGAGUCAUGAAGCAGCUUCCUGUGGAUUCCUGCCGUCUGACUCACCGGCUUCUCCUCUUCAGGCUGAUCACAACUCUAGCUGACAGACUCUUCAUGGUCCUCCGGUUAUUAAUCCUGUUUCUGUUGGACCUCCAGAAGAAACACAAUGUGGAAUCUUUAUAAUCUGGACCGUCAUAGUUCAGACUCACCUCUUUAAAAACACUUGGAUUAAAUAAUUAUCAUUUUAGAAAAAAGUCAGACUGAAUUAAUCUCCUGAUAAUCUGACUGAUUUAUUAAAAAGGUUGUUAGUUAUUUAUCAUUUUAACUUUACUUCUGAAGCGUGAAAUAUUAAAAAAGUUGACAUUUUCCCUCACAGACACCAGCUGGACUUCAUUCUUUAAGAACCUUUUAAUUUACUUUGGAGAUCCAGUUUAGAACAGAAGAGACAGAAACUAACCAAAAC